GAUGAACGCUAGCGGCAGGCCUAACACAUGCAAGUCGAGGGGCAGCACGAUAGGAGCUUGCUUUUAUUGGUGGCGACCGGCGCACGGGUGCGUAACACGUAUGUAACCUACCCUAUACUGGAGGAUAACCCGGAGAAAUUCGGACUAAUACUCCAUGCGUUUGGAAGAGGCAUCUUUUCCAGAUGAAAGAUUAAUCGGUAUAGGAUGGACAUGCGUAACAUCAGGUAGUUGGUGAGGUAAUGGCUCACCAAGGCGACGACGGGUAGCCGGCCUGAGAGGGUGACCGGCCACACUGGGACUGAGACACGGCCCAGACUCCUACGGGAGGCAGCAGUGGGGAAUAUUGCACAAUGGGCGAAAGCCUGAUGCAGCAACGCCGCGUGAGGGAUGAAGGCCUUCGGGUUGUAAACCUCUUUUAGUUGGGAAGAAGCGAAAGUGACGGUACCAACAGAAAAAGCACCGGCUAACUACGUGCCAGCAGCCGCCGUAA
rnacentral:rRNA from 1 species